AUUGAACGCUGGCGGCAUGCCUAACACAUGCAAGUCGAACGGCAGCACGGUGGGUAGUAAUACUCAUGGGUGGCGAGUGGCGGACGGGUGAGUAAUGCAUAGGAACCUGCCUACCAGAGGGGGAUAACUUGGGGAAACUUGAGCUAAUACCACAUGAAGUCUGAGGACCAAAGAGAUGGGAACCUGAGAGGGUCCAUUUGCUGAUAGAGGGGCCUAUGUCGGAUUAGCUAGUUGGUGGGGUAAAGGCCUACCAAGGCGAAGAUCCGUAGCUGGGCUGAGAGGAUGGCCAGCCACACUGGGACUGAGACACGGCCCAGACUCCUACGGGAGGCAGCAGUGGGGAAUAUUGGACAAUGGGGGCAACCCUGAUCCAGCAAUGCCGCGUGAGUGAAGAAGGCCUUUGGGUUGUAAAGCUCUUUAGUGGGGGAGGAAGGAAGUUUUGUGAAUAGCGAAAUUUUUUGACGUUACCCCAAGAAUAAGCACCGGCUAACUCUGUGCCAGCCGCCGCAGUAA
rnacentral:rRNA from 1 species